rnacentral:rRNA from 1 species
GACGAACGCUGGCGGCGUGCCUAAUACAUGCAAGUAGAACGCUGAGGGAGGAGCUUGCUUCUCUGGAUGAGUUGCGAACGGGUGAGUAACGCGUAGGUAACCUGCCUGGUAGCGGGGGAUAACUAUUGGAAACGAUAGCUAAUACCGCAUAAGAGUAGAUGUUGCAUGACAUUUGCUUAAAAGGUGCAAUUGCAUCACUACCAUAUGGACCUGCGUUGUAUUAGCUAGUUGGUGGGGUAACGGCUCACCAAGGCGACGAUACAUAGCCGACCUGAGAGGGUGGUCGGCCACACUGGGAAUGAGACACGGCCCAGACUCCUACGGGAGGCAGCAGUAGGGAAUCUUCGGCAAUGGACGGAAGGCUGAACGAGGAAAGCCGCGUGAGUGAAGAAGGGUGUCGGAUCGGAAAGCUCUGUUGUAAGAGAAGAAAGAGUGUGAGAGUGGAAAGUUCACACUGUGACGGUAUCUGAACAGAAAGGGACGGCUAACUACGUG